rnacentral:tRNA from 1 species
GGGCAAUUAGUAUAAUGGUUAGUACACGAUCCUGAUAAGAUCGGAGCAGAAGUUCGAUUCUUCUAUUGCCUA